GCUUACACAUGCAAGUCGAACGGUAGCAGGCCUUCGGGUGCUGACGAGUGGCGGACGGGUGAGUAACGCGUAGGAAUCUGCCCUGUAGUGGGGGACAACGUGGGGAAACUCACGCUAAUACCGCAUACGCCCUGAGGGGGAAAGCGGGGGACCUUCGGGCCUCGCGCUAUGGGAUGAGCCUGCGUGGGAUUAGCUAGUUGGUAGGGUAAAGGCCUACCAAGGCGACGAUCCCUAGCCGGCCUGAGAGGGUGGCCGGCCACACUGGGACUGAGACACGGCCCAGACUCCUACGGGAGGCAGCAGUGGGGAAUAUUGGACAAUGGGCGCAAGCCUGAUCCAGCAAUGCCGCGUGUGUGAAGAAGGCCUGAGGGUUGUAAAGCACUUUCAGUGGGGAGGAAAAAGCGAAGGUUAAUACCCUUGGUCUUGACAUUACCCAGAGAAGAAGCACCGGCUAACUCCGUGCCAGCAGCCGCGGUAAUACGGAGGGUGCGAGCGUUAAUCGGAAUUACUGGGCGUAAAGCGUGCGUAGGCGGCUAUUUAAGUCAGAUGUGAAAGCCCCGGGCUUAACCUGGGAACGGCAUUUGAUACUGGGUAGCUAGAGUUUGGUAGAGGGGAGUGGAAUUUCAGGUGUAGCGGUGAAAUGCGUAGAGAUCUGAAGGAACACCAGUGGCGAAGGCGGCUCCCUGGACCAGAACUGACGCUGAGGCACGAAAGCGUGGGUAGCAAACAGGAUUAGAUACCCUGGUAGUCCACGCCGUAAACGAUGCCGACUAGCCGUUGGGUCUUUAAGGAGGCUUGGUGGCGCAGCUAACGCAAUAAGUCGGCCGCCUGGGGAGUA
rnacentral:rRNA from 1 species